rnacentral:rRNA from 1 species
GACGAACGCUGGCGGCGUGCUUAACACAUGCAAGUCGAACGGAAAGGCCCCCUUGUGGGGUACUCGAGUGGCGAACGGGUGAGUAACACGUGAGAAACCUACCCUUGACUUUGGGAUAACUUUAGGAAACUGGGGCUAAUACCGGAUAGGAGCUCCUGCUGCAUGGUGGGGGUUGGAAAGUUUCGGCGGUUGGGGAUGGACUCGCGGCUUAUCAGCUUGUUGGUGGGGUAGUGGCUCACCAAGGCUUUGACGGGUAGCCGGCCUGAGAGGGCGACCGGCCACAUUGGGACUGAGAUACGGCCCAGACUCCUACGGGAGGCAGCAGUGGGGAAUAUUGCACAAUGGGCGGAAGCAUGAUGCAGCAACGCCGCGUGCGGGAUGACGGCCUUCGGGUUGUAAACCGCUUUCGCCUGUGACGAAGCGUGAGUGACGGUAAUGGGUAAAGAAGCACCGGCUAACUACGUG